rnacentral:rRNA from 1 species
GGAGAGGGCUAGCGUUAUUCGGAAUUAUUGGGCGUAAAGGGCGCGUAGGCGGAUUAGUAAGUUAAAAGUGAAAUCCCAAGGCUCAACCUUGGAAUUGCUUUUAAAACUGCUAAUCUAGAGAUUGAAAGAGGAUAGAGGAAUUCCUAGUGUAGAGGUGAAAUUCGUAAAUAUUAGGAGGAACACCAGUGGCGAAGGCGUCUAUCUGGUUCAAAUCUGACGCUGAGGCGCGAAGGCGUGGGGAGCAAACAGGAUCAGAUACCCUGGUAGUCCACGCUGUAAACGAUGAAUGUUAAAUAUGGGGAGUUUACUUUCUGUAUUACAGCUAACGCGUUAAACAUUCCGCCUGGGGACUACGGUCGCAAGAUUAAAACUCAAAGGAAUUGACGGGGACCCGCACAAGCGGUGGAGCAUGUGGUUUAAUUCGAUGCAACGCGAAAAACCUUACCACUCCUUGACAUGGAAAUUAUACCUAUUCGAAGGGAUAGGGUCGGUUCGGCCGGGUUUCACACAGGUGU